UACGAAGGGGGCUAGCGUUAUUCGGAAUUACUGGGCGUAAAGCGCACGUAGGCGGAUCGAUCAGUCAGGGGUGAAAUCCCAGGGCUCAACCCUGGAACUGCCUUUGAUACUGUCGAUCUGGAGUAUGGAAGAGGUGAGUGGAAUUCCGAGUGUAGAGGUGAAAUUCGUAGAUAUUCGGAGGAACACCAGUGGCGAAGGCGGCUCACUGGUCCAUUACUGACGCUGAGGUGCGAAAGCGUGGGGAGCAAACAGG
rnacentral:rRNA from 1 species